rnacentral:rRNA from 1 species
CGGGACAGGUUCAUCAAGUAAGCAAGAAAUCCCGUCCGCUCUCCCAUAGUUAAGCUGGUAAGGGGCAGAUUAGUAGUUGGGUCGGUGACGACCAGCGAACACCGGCUGUUGUAUGUU